rfam:Bombyx mori DNA, contig: Bm_scaf30_contig19004, strain: p50T/Dazao, build 2, whole genome shotgun sequence.
UUAACUCAAAUUUGUAUGGAGUUCGAACGCUUUCCUACUUUUGCCGCAAGGGGCGCUGUUCCAACUGCGUACAAGUUUGAGUUA